CAGCCAUUAACACCUCAAUGUUAAGUAGAAGUAGGAGAAGACCACCAAAGUGAAAAAGAGAAAACUUUAUUAAGACAAAAACAUCCAGGAAUGUAUUUAAAAAACACACACAUGAAAACUCAAUGCAGCAAAUACCCCAAACAACAGUGACGAGUUCAAAAAAAGUGAUGAAGAUGAUCCCUUUCGAUGUGUAUUAUUACAGUGUUAGGCAGAC